rnacentral:rRNA from 1 species
UUGACCUCGGAUCAGGUAGACA